UACGGAGGGUGCUAGCGUUGUCCGGAAUCAUUGGGCGUAAAGCGCGUGUAGGCGGUCCGGUAAGUCCGCUGUGAAAGUCGGGGGCUCAACCCUCGGAUGCCGGUGGAUACUGUCGGGCUUGAGUACGGAAGAGGCGAGUGGAAUUCCUGGUGUAGCGGUGAAAUGCGCAGAUAUCAGGAGGAACACCAAUUGCGAAGGCAGCUCGCUGGGACGUUACUGACGCUGAGACGCGAAAGCGUGGGGAGCAAACAGG
rnacentral:rRNA from 1 species